GCAUAUCAAUAAGCGGAGGAAAAGAAACCAACAGGGAUUGCCCUAGUAACGGCGAGUGAAGCGGCAACAGCUCAAAUUUGAAAUCUGGCUCUCUUUGGGGGUCCGAGUUGUAAUUUGCAGAGGAUGCUUUGGCAUUGGCGGCGGUCUAAGUUCCUUGGAACAGGACAUCACAGAGGGUGAGAAUCCCGUACGUGGUCGCCUGCCUUUGCCGUGUAAAGCUCCUUCGACGAGUCGAGUUGUUUGGGAAUGCAGCUCUAAAUGGGAGGUAAAUUUCUUCUAAAGCUAAAUACUGGCCAGAGACCGAUAGCGCACAAGUAGAGUGAUCGAAAGAUGAAAAGUACUUUGGAAAGAGAGUCAAAAAGCACGUGAAAUUGUUGAAAGGGAAGCGCUUGCAGCCAGACUUGCCCGCAGUUGCUCACCCAGGCUUUCGCCUGGGGCACUCUUCUGCGGGCAGGCCAGCAUCAGUUUGGGCGGUUGGAUAAAGGCCUCUGUCACGUAUCUCCCUUCGGGGUGACCUUAUAGGGGAGGCGCAAUGCAACCAGCCCGGACUGAGGUCCGCGCAUCUGCUAGGAUGCUGGCGUAAUGGCUGUAAGCGGCCCGUCUUGAAACACGGACCAAGGAGUCUAACAUCUAUGCGAGUGUUUGGGUGUCAAGCCCGAGCGCGCAAUGAAAGUGAACGGAGGUGGGAACCCUUUGGGUGCACCAUCGACCGAUCCUGAUGUCUUCGGAUGGAUUUGAGUAAGAGCAUAGCUGUUGGGACCCGAAAGAUGGUGAACUAUGCUUGAAUAGGGUGAAGCCAGAGGAAACUCUGGUGGAGGCUCGCAGCGGUUCUGACGUGCAAAUCGAUCGUCAAAUUUGGGCAUAGGGGCGAAAGACUAAUCGAACCAUCUAGUAGCUGGUUCCUGCCG
rnacentral:rRNA from 1 species